rnacentral:rRNA from 1 species
GGCUAUGGCCAUAGCACCCUGAACAGGCCUGAUCCUUUCUGGUCUUAGACGCUAACCAGGGUCGGGAGAAUUAUUCAGCAAUAACAG